CCUACGGGAGUCAGCAGUGGGGAAUUUUCCGCAAUGGGCGAAAGCCUGACGGAGCAAUACCGCGUGAGGGAGGAAGGCUCUUGGGUUGUAAACCUCUUUUUUCAGGGAAGAUAAUGACGGUACCUGAGGAAUAAGCAUCGGCUAACUCCGUGCCAGCAGCCGCGGUAAUACGGAGGAUGCAAGCGUUAUCCGGAAUGAUUGGGCGUAAAGCGUCCGCAGGUGGUUUUAAAAGUCUGUUGUUAAAGCGUGAGGCUUAACCUCAUAAGGGCAGUGGAAACUGUAAGACUAGAGUACGUUCGGGGCAAGGGGAAUUCCCAGUGUAGCGGUGAAAUGCGUAGAGAUUGGGAAGAACACCGGUGGCGAAAGCGCCUUGCUAGGCCGUAACUGACACUGAGGGACGAAAGCUAGGGGAGCGAAUGGGAUUAGAUACCCCAGUAGUCCUAGCCGUAAACGAUGGAUACUAGGCGUUGUCUGUAUCGACCCGGACAGUGCCGUAGCUAACGCGUUAAGUAUCCCGCCUGGGGAUACGCACGCAAGUGUGAAACCUUAAGGAAUUGACGG
rnacentral:rRNA from 1 species